UAAAGCUUAUUGAAUACCAACAUCUUCUGAAUGCAACUCAGACACUUUAUUUAAGCUAAAACUUC
rnacentral:tRNA from 1 species